CAGACCUCUAAUCGGAAAAGACUACC
rnacentral:rRNA from 6 species